rnacentral:rRNA from 1 species
CCGCCGGACGGACGUGGGGAGAAUGUCUCACUGAACCUUAUCAUUUAGAGGAAGGAGAAGUCGUAACAAGGUUUCCGUAGGUGAACCUGCGGAAGGAUCAUUGUCGAUGCCCCGCCCCACGAACGGAACGACCCGCGGACCGGUUUUGAGAACACCGCCGCCGUCGGGGCCGCGCGCCCGGACGGCACAACGACCAACCCCCGGCGCCAGUCGCGCCAAGGAAACGUAAAGAACGCGGGCGCGCGCGCGCGACCCCGGGCGCCCGGCCAUCGGGAUCCCGUCCGGGGAGCGCCGCCGCGCCACGGGUAUGCCACGCAUACACAAAACGACUCUCGGCAACGGAUAUCUCGGCUCUCGCAUCGAUGAAGAACGUAGCGAAAUGCGAUACUUGGUGUGAAUUGCAGAAUCCCGCGAACCAUCGAGUCUUUGAACGCAAGUUGCGCCCGAAGCCAUCCGGCCGAGGGCACGCCUGCCUGGGCGUCACGCAACGUCGCCCCCAGCCCAUCGCGGGCGGGGCGGAGGAUGGCCUCCCGCGAGCACCCGUCUCCCGGAUGGCCGAAACGCGAGCGCGAGACCGCAGUCGCCACGAUCCACGGUGGGAGGAGCGGAACUCGCUCGCUCGAGACCGGCCGUGCGCGAGCUGCCGCCGCGCGGGACCCACGGGCGCCGCGGGCGCUCCCGACGCGACCCCAGGUCAGGCGGGGACACCCGCUGAGUUUAAGCAUAUCAAUAAGCGGAGGUA